rnacentral:lncRNA from 1 species
GGCGGGAAGGCCCCCUUCCUUCCCUAUCCACCAGAAUCUUUACUGUUCCUUCGCCUGAGUCAACUGGACACGGUCGAGCUUAGCCCCCUGCGCUUCUCCUAGGGUUUGACCGGAACAGGCUAUCUAAGCAGAAGGGACCCCUUCCCUGGAUCACCUGCCAUCAGAGACUUUCAAGCCUUUCUUCGCCCCUCCCUUCCCGGCUCCAGCCGGGGUGUUGUGCAAGAGCCAGAGGAAUUUGUGAUAAUGGAGCCACAUGCCCAGGCUCAACCCAGGCCCAAGGAACUUGACCUGAAGCAGGAGGGUAAGCAAGAACACUCCUAGCUCCCAGGCCAGAAGGGUGGCCGGCAGCCACAAGGAAACUCCUAGUGGUCCUGAAUGCUGCCAAGGAGGGGGAGGCUUGCCUUCUUAUUUAUAGCAUUGCGAUUGCAGGGGCUGGGAUGGGGGGAGCUCGGAUCCCUCUUGAGCUUGGCGCAUGAUUCAUUUCUCCUCGGGAGCUGCGGGCCGAGGCAGGGCGUGCGCUCUGGCAGCCUCCGGCCAGCCGCACACUCGGGCCUGCUCGUUUAUUUAUGGUGCUUUAUCAGGGGCUGUGCACCGCGGCGAUAAAGUUUAUGAAAAGAGGCGGCGUCUCCGGCGGCGGGCUGGGCCCCGGCGCUCCUUUCCCACACUGAUUAGGAUCAGCCGGGACUUUGGAAGCGGCAGUUAAGGAUCAGGGUGCCUGGAGCUGGCUCGCCUUCCUGCCGCGCCCAGCCUGGCCGGCUGCUGGCCCGCGUGGGUGGGAGGGCCGCGCUGUGACCUGGCACGGGGCAGGAGCAGGGCAGCCUGGAAAAUCCAGCGUCCAGAUCCCAGCUGAAGCCGUAGAAAGGGGCUCAGGAGCCAUUUCUCUUCUGAAUUUGGCAACUCCGACCCUGUGGGUUUUUGUUUUGUUUUGUUUUGUUUUGUUUUGUUUUUUACUUUUCCAGUUCCCAGUUCUUUUCGUGUGUGUUUAUUCUCCCGGUGCAUUUGGGCCCAUCCCUUAAGAAGACUAAGUCUCUGCAGCGAGAAUAUCUUUAAUCGCUUCAGAGAUAAAUUCAGAAUUACUAGCUCCGGUCUGGGGCCUCUCAGAGUCGCAAAGGGUGGAUUACAGAGUAACUGCAGCCUAGGGUUAUAAGGCUCCAAAGCAGGCACCGAGGCUGGCACUUGCCUCGGUCUUACUGACUUCCUUAAUUUGUGGUGACCUCAGGGAGGUGACAGUCCUAGCCAGAACAUUUCACUGUGUGAUAAAAUGACUCAGAAAGGCAGGGGCUGAACUUCAACUGGACUUUAGAGGCAGGAAGUGCAGCUCAGUGGUAGGGUCCUGGCUCAGGGUUUGAUUCCUACACACAAACAUACACACACACACACACACACACACACACACACACACACACACUAACCUAAAUAAAUAGAAUCAGAGCCCACUCACUUAACGUCUGGAUUUCCCUUCCUUCCUAGCACCGAGAACGGUGAACAGGACAAUUAUCCUGCCUGAGAAGGUCACUGAGGUAUUAUGGUCUUGAAAACAGGGGUCAUGUGUCUUCAUGUGUCAGCCUGACUGGUUUAGAAUCACCUAGGAGAUUGGAUGGCUGGGGCUUAUGAGGAUGCUUCCAGGGCGGCUUACCUAAAGAGGGAAGGCCCACCCUGAAUGUUAGCAGCACCCUCCUAUGGUCUGGGGGCCUGGACUGAGUAUGAAGAAGAAGCAAGCUAAACACUAGCGUUCAUCUUUGUUCCUUCACUGAGAUGGCCAUGCCUUCCAUGGACUGAUGGCAUUCCUUCAAAGCAGGAGCCCAAGUGAACCUUGCUUCCUUAAGCUGCUUUUACUAGGUAGUACAUCACGGCACAGAGAAAUAUAGCUAACACAAGUAGAUGUUCGCUAGACAUGGUGGUGGGAAGGUAGGUGUUUCAGACAGAACAAGCCCUUCAUAAAAUUGACUCUCGGGGACAAGCUGUGUUCACCUUCUGCUUCUCUAAGGAGUGGGAGGGCAGAAGGCCAGCGACUCUGAGUUCUGUGACGACAGGGUUGCCUUCAUAGACUACUUCCUUGCCCUGGAACCUUCGGCUUGCAACUGCUGAAAUUCUAGCACCUCAGAAGUCUGACAACCAUCUGAUCUCUUCCUCUGAUUCCUCCCAGACUCAGUCUUUGUCUCCCUAAAAUCAAACCUGCCUUGGGGCUGUGUUACUAGACGGAGUAAAGUCCUCCCCUUCAUACUUGCUUUGACCCAAGCCUGGCUUGCUAUUGUAUACACAAGGGGUGUUUGGUAACUGUGGUUGAUGAAUACAUAGGUAUGUGUGUCAUGGGGGGCUGGCUCAUCUCACAGGUGUCAUAUUUAUCCCUUCAUGGAUUUCAAGACCAGACAGGC